rnacentral:lncRNA from 1 species
GCAGUCACCGCGGACGCCAAUCUUGUGCAUGGAGUCGCCAUUUUGCUCCUAGAGAGGCCGCCAGGAGACCCGGCGCUUUCUUCCUUCUGCAGCUGAGGCUGCGGCGGGGCCGGGGCUGGGGUCGGGGCCAGAUGGAGUCUUGCUGUGUCGCCAGGCUGGAAGUGCAGUGGCACGAUCUCAGCUCACUGCAACCUCUGCCUCCCAGGAGGAAUUUUGUUGUCAGAGAAUAAAAGGAGGUUGUCCAUAAUUGACUUUAAGCAGCAAUCAGUAAAACAUUGAGCUCUUCAGCUCCGCCUUUCUUGCUCUGAAAAUUGGAAAACCAAGAAGGUUUUGAUGUUUUGUGUGACGCCACCUGAAUUAGAAACCAAGAUGAACAUAACCAAAGGUGGUCUGGUGUUGUUUUCAGCAAACUCGAAUUCAUCAUGUAUGGAGCUAUCAAAGAAAAUUGCAGAAAACAAGAGUACAAAUUCAAGAGUCUGUGAGGGGAAAAGAUGUUUUCAUCAU